rnacentral:rRNA from 1 species
CCCUUAGAGUUUGAUCCUGGCUCAGAUUGAACGCUGGCGGCAUGCCUUACACAUGCAAGUCGAACGGUAACAGGGAGCUUGCUCCGCUGACGAGUGGCGAACGGGUGAGUAAUACAUCGGAACGUGCCCAGUAAUGGGGGAUAGCUCGGCGAAAGCCGGAUUAAUACCGCAUACGCCCUGAGGGGGAAAGUGGAGGACCGCAAGGCCUCACGUUAUUGGAGCGGCCGAUGGCUGAUUAGCUAGUUGGUAGGGUAAAGGCCUACCAAGGCGACGAUCAGUAGCUGGUCUGAGAGGACGAUCAGCCACACUGGGACUGAGACACGGCCCAGACUCCUACGGGAGGCAGCAGUGGGGAAUUUUGGACAAUGGGGGAAACCCUGAUCCAGCAAUGCCGCGUGUGCGAAGAAGGCCUUCGGGUUGUAAAGCACUUUUGUCAGGGAAGAAAUCCUUUGGGCUAAUACCCUAGGGGGAUGACGGUACCUGAAGAAUAAGCACCGGCUAACUACGUGCCAGCAGCCGCGGUAAUACGUAGGGUGCAAGCGUUAAUCGGAAUUACUGGGCGUAAAGCGUGCGCAGGCGGUUGUGUAAGACAGGUGUGAAAUCCCCGGGCUUAACCUGGGAAUUGCAUUUGUGACUGCACGACUAGAGUGUGUCAGAGGGGGGUGGAAUUCCACGUGUAGCAGUGAAAUGCGUAGAUAUGUGGAGGAACACCAAUGGCGAAGGCAGCCCCCUGGGAUAACAC